rnacentral:rRNA from 1 species
UACGAGGGGGGCAAGCGGUUGUUCGGAAUUAUUGGGCGUAAAGGGCGCGUAGGCGGUUUGACAAGUCUGAUGUGAAAUCUAUGGGCUCAACCCAUAGCCUGCAUUAGAAACUGUCGGGCUUGAGUAUGGGAGAGGUGAGUGGAAUUUCCGGUGUAGCGGUGAAAUGCGUAGAUAUCGGAAGGAACACCUGUGGCGAAAGCGGCUCACUGGACCAUAACUGACGCUGAGACGCGAAAGCGUGGGGAGCGAACAGG